rnacentral:rRNA from 1 species
CGUACACUCCUACGGGAGGCAGCAGUGGGGAAUAUUGGACAAUGGGCGCAAGCCUGAUCCAGCCAUGCCGCGUGAGUGAUGAAGGCCCUAGGGUUGUAAAGCUCUUUCACCGGUGAAGAUAAUGACGGUAACCGGAGAAGAAGCCCCGGCUAACUUCGUGCCAGCAGCCGCGGUAAUACGAAGGGGGCUAGCGUUGUUCGGAUUUACUGGGCGUAAAGCGCACGUAGGCGGACUAUUAAGUCAGGGGUGAAAUCCCGGGGCUCAACCCCGGAACUGCCUUUGAUACUGGUAGUCUUGAGUUCGAGAGAGGUGAGUGGAAUUCCGAGUGUAGAGGUGAAAUUCGUAGAUAUUCGGAGGAACACCAGUGGCGAAGGCGGCUCACUGGCUCGAUACUGACGCUGAGGUGCGAAAGCGUGGGGAGCAAACAGGAUUAGAUACCCUAGUAGUCCC